CAAAGAAAUGAGGAAGGAACUUCUGCUGGAAAGACCAAGCAUCAGCUACUCCACUCUUAAUACUCUGAUUUCAGUAAAAUGGAAGGAGCUAAAUGAAGCGGAUAAACAGCUUUGGAAUGUUAAAGCAGCAGAAGCAAUGGAGGCUUACAAAAA